ensembl:snoRNA
UGGCUCUGUUGACUAGUGAGUUUGCCGACCACUGGGAUAGGUGAACAUUGCCCUGAUCUGAAGGGGAGGAUUUGUUUGUGUCCUUCUGUACGAAAUGGCUAAGCAGAAAAAA